rnacentral:tRNA from 1 species
AAGUAAACAAUGAAAAGAUUUCAUAUUUGGUUUCGGCCCAUUUUUUAGCAGUUAAACUCCGCUUUUACUUA